UACGUAGGGUGCAAGCGUUAAUCGGAAUUACUGGGCGUAAAGCGUGCGCAGGCGGUUUUGUAAGACAGGCGUGAAAUCCCCGGGCUCAACCUGGGAAUUGCGUUUGUGACUGCAAAGCUGGAGUGCGGCAGAGGGGGAUGGAAUUCCGCGUGUAGCAGUGAAAUGCGUAGAUAUGCGGAGGAACACCGAUGGCGAAGGCAAUCCCCUGGGCCUGCACUGACGCUCAUGCACGAAAGCGUGGGGAGCAAACAGG
rnacentral:rRNA from 1 species